CCUGCCUUAUACCGGGGGAUAACAGUUAGAAAUGACUGCUAAUACCGCAUAAGCGCACGGUGUCGCAUGACACAGUGUGAAAACUCCGGUGGUAUAAGAUGGACCCGCGUCUGAUUAGAUAGUUGGUGAGGUAACGGCCCACCAAGUCAACGAUCAGUAGCCGGCCUGAGAGGGUGAACGGCCGCAUUGGGACUGAGACACGGCCCAAACUCCUACGGGAGGCGGCAGUGGGGAAUAUUGGACAAUGGGGGAAACCCUGAUCCAGCGACGCCGCGUGAGUGAAGAAGUAUUUCGGUAUGUAAAGCUCUAUCAGCAGGGAAGAAAAUGACGGUACCUGACUAAGAAGCCCCGGCUAACUACGUGCCAGCAGCCGCGGUAAUACGUAGGGGGCAAGCGUUAUCCGGAUUUACUGGGUGUAAAGGGAGCGUAGACGGUAUGGUAAGUCAGAUGUGAAAGGCUGGGGCUCAACCCCGGGACUGCAUUUGAAACUAUCAAACUAGAGUGUCGGAGAGGUAAGUGGAAUUCCUAGUGUAGCGGUGAAAUGCGUAGAUAUAUGGAGGAACACCAGUGGCGAAGGCGAUUUACUAGCUCGAUACUGACGCUCAGUCACGAAAGCGUGGGGAGCAAAUAGGAUUAGAUACCCUAGUAGUCCACGCUGUAAACGAUGACAACUA
rnacentral:rRNA from 1 species